GUGGGGAAUAUUGGACAAUGGGCGAAAGCCUGAUCCAGCCAUGCCGCGUGUGUGAAGAAGGUCUUCGGAUUGUAAAGCACUUUAAGUUGGGAGGAAGGGCAGUAAGUUAAUACCUUGCUGUUUUGACGUUACCGACAGAAUAAGCACCGGCUAACUUCGUGCCAGCAGCCGCGGUAAUACGAAGGGUGCAAGCGUUAAUCGGAAUUACUGGGCGUAAAGUGCGCGUAGGUGGUUUUGUAAGUUGGAGGUGAAAUCCCCGGGCUCAACCUGGGAACUGCCUCCAAAACUGCAUGACUAGAGUACGGUAGAGGGUAGUGGAAUUUCCUGUGUAGCGGUGAAAUGCGUAGAUAUAGGAAGGAACACCAGUGGCGAAGGCGACUACCUGGACUGAUACUGACACUGAGGUGCGAAAGCGUGGGGAGCAAACAGGAUUAGAUACCCGUGUAGUCC
rnacentral:rRNA from 1 species